CAGAAGUACAAGAUGGAUUAAGGACC
rnacentral:piRNA from 1 species